rnacentral:rRNA from 1 species
UAGGGAAUCUUCCGCAAUGGGCGAAAGCCUGACGGAGCAACGCCGCGUGAGUGAUGAAGGUCUUCGGAUCGUAAAACUCUGUUAUUAGGGAAGAACAAAUGUGUAAGUAACUAUGCACGUCUUGACGGUACCUAAUCAGAAAGCCACGGCUAACUACGUGCCAGCAGCCGCGGUAAUACGUAGGUGGCAAGCGUUAUCCGGAAUUAUUGGGCGUAAAGCGCGCGUAGGCGGUUUUUUAAGUCUGAUGUGAAAGCCAACGGCUCAACCGUGGAGGGUCAUUGGAAACGGGAAAACUUGAGUGCAGAAGAGGAAAGUGGAAUUCCAUGUGUAGCGGUGAAAUGCGCAGAGAUAUGGAGGAACACCAGUGGCGAAGGCGACUUUCUGGUCUGUAACUGACGCUGAUGUGCGAAAGCGUGGGGAUCAAACAGG